rnacentral:misc_RNA from 1 species
UCCGGGUUUCGCCCGGCAGUCUCCCUAGAACAUUCAACUAAGGACAGGGGUUGCGCUCGUUGCGGGACUUAACCCAACACCUCACGGCGCGAGCUGACGACAGCCAUGCAGCACCUGUGUUACGGCUCUCUUUCGAGCACGCCUCGAUCUCUCGUGGCUUCCGUACGUGUCAAGGGUAGGUAAGGUUUUUCGCGUUGCAUCGAAUUAAUCCACAUCAUCCACCGCUUGUGCGGGUCCCCGUCAAUUCCUUUGAGUUUUAAUCUUGCGACCGUACUCCCCAGGCGGACAACUUCACGCGUUAGCUGCGGUACUGAGAAAUCGCUUCCCCAACACCUAGUUGUCAUCGUUUCGGGCGUGGACUAC